rnacentral:rRNA from 1 species
AUUGAACGCUGGCGGCAGGCCUAACACAUGCAAGUCGAGCGGCAGCACGGGGGCAACCCUGGUGGCGAGCGGCGAACGGGUGAGUAAUACAUCGGAACAUGCCCAGUCGUGGGGGAUAACACUUCGAAAGAAGUGCUAAUACCGCAUACGUCCUGAGGGAGAAAGCGGGGGAUCUUCGGACCUCGCGCGAUUGGAGUGGCCGAUGUCAGAUUAGCUAGUUGGUGGGGUAAAGGCCUACCAAGGCAACGAUCUGUAGCUGGUCUGAGAGGAUGAUCAGCCACACUGGGACUGAGACACGGCCCAGACUCCUACGGGAGGCAGCAGUGGGGAAUUUUGGACAAUGGGGGCAACCCUGAUCCAGCCAUUCCGCGUGAGUGAAGAAGGCCUUCGGGUUGUAAAGCACUUUCAGCGAGGAGGAAAGGUUGAUGCCUAAUACGUAUCAACUGUGACGUUACUCGCAGAAGAAGCACCGGCUAACUCCGUGCCAGCCGCCGCCGUAAAAC